GCCGGGAGCAUUAUAGUAUGGACCCUGCCACCCCGGGUAAGCAGGUUGUCCGUAUUCAUGAGGUACCCCUGGCUGUUGCUGGUUCUGUGGAGAUGUGUAUGGGGGACGUGCAGCUGGCAAAUGGUAAGGAGGUUGCUGCUGUUGUGAGCCAUAAGGGGGUGGAGGCUGACCAUACCCAGGUGCGUUAGGUUGCUGAGGUGGUUGCUGCUGAGGGGGUGAAUAGUAAGGUUGUGACUGAGGAUGAGACUGCUGCGGAAUGUUACUGGUGUUAGGCUGCUGAGGUGCUGAAUAGUAAGGCUGUGAUUGAGGAUGAGACUGUUGCGGAAUAUUGCCGGCUUUUGUUUGUUGUGAGGAAGUUCUUUGAGGUUGAUUCGCCUGUCCAACUGCAGGGUAAUUGUAAUUGCCAGUAUUUUUACUGUCCUGAAAACUGAGACCUGCCAUCUGUCUUUGAACUUCUUCAAUCAUUUCACGGCAUUGUAUGCUUCUUGUCAUCACAAAAUCACUGCAUUGUUGUUUCAUAUUUGUGAUGGCAUCCUGUAAUAAAGCAAUUAGGUUCCAAUUUCAUGAGGUAAAAUUAAUCACACAACCCAACAACAUGAUAUCUCAGUAUCUCAUGCACCACCGAUAAAGACCUAAGAUUUUUAUGUUCUGUUUGGUUUAAACGAAUGAUAUUAGGUGGGUAUGUCAUAAAGAUGCCAACAUCUUGUAAACAUAUAUUCACAAUUUUUGUUCCUCACUCCAUUCCCUUGAACAUACCAAUUUACUACAAUUCUAGAACCCAAAACCACAGAUUUGAGGAUGAAAGCCUUAUUUCUACUUCUACUCUCUUUUUUAAAUCUCAUAACAGAAAAUUUUGCAUGUUCAACUUCUUCAUUCCUCCCUCUCACAUUUCUUAAUCUAUGGUUUGUUCAAAAGUAUUCAAAUCCCUUCAUUCCAUGACUUCCAACCAAACACUGCAUUAAGGUUUCCACAAACUAAACACUAGAAAACAAAAAAGCCAAUCAUAAGAAAUAGCAAUCAUUCUUGGCAAUUACGAAGCAAAAUCAAGUAGAAACGAUAACAAUUAUAGGAACAUUGUAACUGCAUCCUUCACACUCCUUGCUCUCCAAAUUCUUCCGUUUCAAAAAAUAGUUUUCAAUUGCUAUAAUGCUAUUAAUUCAUAUUACUCUUCAUUACACAUGAGCUAAAAACAACAUUAUCUGAUGAUAUCUUUGGUAUCUAAUUAUGCAAUUAAAAAUGUCUAAAUUACUGCAAUGUGCUUGUAAUUAAGGUCUUUUAAGGUGUCGUUCAUACCUGAAGAGUAACAUAAAACUUUAGUCCUUCAUUGAUAUUCUCUUUAAUUUCCUGAUAUUUUGCAAUAGCAGCUUCGAUCUGCUUAAAGCACUUCUCACGAGAUGCUGCAAAAUUGUUGAUGAAAGAAAUGAAAAAAUGUUAUAAAGGUGAAGCACUUGUGUAGGUUGAAGGCUACAUUACGUCAGAUGUUAUAUAUUUAAAUUCAAAAAAACAAACAGAAAUUUAUCAGAAAGACAAAUAGUACAUUAUCUAAUUAAAACUGAAUUAACAACUAGCAUGGUAAGUAUGUAACUUUUUCAAAUAGAAAAUAAAAAAAGUGAUCAUUAUAAAAUCCAAGAUGAGCUGGCACAUUGUAUAGCUGCAUAUAUCAGCUAAUACAACCUGUACACUCAACGCGGCUUAUGGUUAGAGUCAGCAUAUGAAUAAGUUGACUAUUCACUGUUUAUCACUCUUAGGAGUUUUUGUCAAUUAGAGAGAAUUACGAGAGAGUUUUGUUCCUAUGACAAAAUGAUAUAUAAAACUGUUCUGACAUAGUGUAUCAAAAAUUGUUUCUAAUCUAAAUAAACAGUAAUAUUAACUUCAAAUACUAUGAGAAGUAAUAUAAGAUAGAUCACGGAAAAUAUUAGCACCAGUUGCCACCAUAACACCUAAUGAGAGAGAACCAGGUCUGGCCUGCAGAGCUUCAUUCAGAUUGCAUAAACUGUGAGCUGUUUAUGAAGUACCAUCUUAACUAGAAGAAAGAAACACUAACUGACAGGUUUGUCUUGAUGCUUAACUCCAUACCCAGUGUCCCAAGCAAGGUGGUUUAAAAGCUUGGCAGUAGCCAAUGUCAACGAGAAAUUUAAUUUAGUAAAAUAAUUAAGAAGCUCCAUAAGUUGCAUUUGAAUUAAAGAUCAAAGAUAAUUAGGUAUUUCAAUAGUUUUAGUUUAGGAGUAUUCACCUAGGCAAUUUUAAACAGAAGGAAGGAAAUUUUAUAAAGAAGCAAGGAACCAUAACCAGAGCAUCUAAGUCCAAUAUUGCCUACCUUUAUAAUCUUCAAUGUUGAAGACGGCAGCAAACUCAUUGCUUUGAGCCUGUAAUGAGAAGAUCAAGAAGGAAAAAGAAGUAUAACUUUGUCACGACAAAGAACUUGCAAUCAAAUCAAAGAGGAACUUAUUGCGAGCAGAAAAUAGUUGCUUAAUACUUUUACAUAAUUAUAUGCAUUCGCUGAUUCCUAUUAAUCCCAUUUCUUAUAGUUUUGACUAUACUGCAGUUUGUUGCUAAAUUUUGAGAUUGUCAAAGAAGGCAUAACUUUUACUUAUUAAGGAAGCUAACAUGACAAUACAUUUAAAGACCUAGAGCUUGAUUGCAAUAUCAACUGAAGCCAUUGAGACCUUUCUACCUCCCCUUCUUCGUCUCCAAUAUAUUGCUUAAAAAUUUAGAACACAACAAAGACAAUAAUUUAAGGUGACACCACAACAACACUACAGAUUGACAAUGAACUAAAAUCCUAAACAAAUUCAUCUCAAGAUUUAUUAACCUUCUAAAAAACAAUGACAGUACAACCUGAAAACUAAUGACAUUACAGCUAAAUUAACAUACAUUAUUUGCAAAGCCACACAAUUGAAGAGAUACAAAUCAGGAACUGAUAAAUUUAAAAUGCGAACCUGAAUUUGCAGCAAUAAAUGUUCCUGUGCCUCAACAUUUUUUCCAAUUUCCUGACAUAUUUGAUCGUAUUUUGAUAUCUCCUUUCUGAAAAGAUCAUCAUAGGAGCCAGUGGAUGUCAUUAACUUUGGCAGUAUAUCAUCCUGCAAAAACAACCAACUAUAGUUACACCAUGUACAAGAAGCACCAAAUAAAAGUAAAAAAAUAAUUGGGAUAUAAAUUAUAGCAGUGACAGAUGCCCUUUACCAACUUGACCCGUAAGAGAAGUCUAGACUGUAGUGAGCAUCUGAAAAGGAUUUUGUACCCAAAACAGUUAUAUUGUCUAAGAGGUUUUGUGUGCAAGUAUCUGGACCUUUUAUAUAGUUAUUAUCAUACAAAUUCCAGGUUUAUACCUUCAAUUAUACAAAAGGUUUACGUAGUAGCAAGACAUGCGAAUCUUCCUAGCUAUAACUUAAUAGAUAUGCAGAUAGUAAAUUGCAUGUUCUCAUAAAAAUACAAAUUAUAUACUCCCUCCGUCCUAUUUUAUGUGAGCUUGUUUGACAUUCACGGAGAUUAAAAAAUAGGUAGUACAAUAUAAUAAAAGUGGAUAUAAUGGUGGGACCUAUCAAAAUUUAAUAACAGAUUUGAGAUAGUGGAAGGAAGCAGUAGGUGUAAUAGUAUUUAUUAAAAAAAAGAAAAAUAUAAAAUAGAGAAGUAGUAGGUGUAAAAGUGAAAAGUAGUGUUCAAAACUUAGUAAGUAUGAUAGGUCCAUUUUUUUUGGGACGUCCCAAAAAGGAAUAAUAGUCAUAUAAACUAGGACGGAGGGAGUAAUUUAGAAUGACACCUACAUUAAGAUGACCAAAUGGAGGGAAUCGCCACUUUUUUUAAAGGACUUUUUAAUACAAAUUUAGAUGGAACAUAAGCAUUGUAAGAUGUCGCUUAAACAACUUUAAUCAGUAGUACAAUGAUUUUGAUCCUUAUCUAGUGUGUACUUUAUUCAGAAACAACAUUAGAACUGGCAUCAGAGUUAGUUGUAUGACAAAGCUAUAUAAAAUCCAAAACUUGUAAGAACCUUUAUAGAGAUAUCUUAUAAAUGCUUUUCUUAUGUAGUAUCAGAUCUGCAACUAUUACGGUCUUUGCUCCCAGGAAUAUAUGCUAUCAUCUAGUAGAAUUUAGAAACAUACUGGGCAUGUUUAUGAUAAUAGACAUGUCUAGUGAACACAUUACUUCUAUAGUUCCAUACAAGUUAAAGACAUUUAUGCUUAUUGAUCAUUGCAACCUGCUCAGUCAGAGUUGAUGUGAUAUAGUACUCAUCAAUUUUCCUUUAAACUGAAUAGGUAAACAAAAGUUGGCUCACAAGUAUAAAUUUAUUGGCACUAACAGUGUUAUUAAAAGCGCGCACAUGCGCUCGCAUAUGCGAGAUGCGAUGCGAUGCGAGGUAAAUGCGCAUUGUUCUGAUUAUGCGAUGCGAGGUUAGAGAUGCGCGCGCUUUUCUGCGCAUGAAGAGCAUAAGCGAGAUGCGAAAAGCGCUGGAAAAGCGCGCUUUUUUAUUUUUUUGACUAGACUGUUGACGGGACCAUUGACUGGGCUGUUGACUGGGUCUUUUUAAAAGAAAAGGGUCAUAAAACCCUAAAAUAGACAGACACGCAUCUUUGAUACCAUACAACACGUACAUACACAUACAUAGGCGAUAGAUUGAACAAGAUCUGUGCAGGAUAAUCUUCUUUCUGGUAAUUAUCUUCUUUCUUGUAUACACGCACACAUAUAUAUACACAUAUACACACACAUAUCUACACACAUAUACACACACAUACACACACAUAUACAGAAAUAUAUAUACAUAUAUACUGAUUAUGAUAAUGAUUAUUUACUACAGACAUAUAUUAUAUAUGUGUAUAUAUAUGAACAUAUUAUUUAUUUUUUACUAAUAAUAUAUAUAUAUAAACACACAAAUAUAUGAUAUAUACCGAAGGGAGUAAGCAUCUUGAAUAUGAAGAUUUCGAAAAUCUUCAAGAAGAGCUUGACGAUGAUGAUGAUGAUUUUUAGUUUAUGUCAAAUUAUCAACUACUAGGAUUUUAGAUUAUCUAUUUGUACCCUAACUUUGAACCUGAUUAUCAUCAACAUGUUCUAUGACAAUCUAAUAUGCUUAUUACUUGUUAAAUUUAAUUGUUAUGCAUUUUUUUAUAAUUUUUUACGCUUUGUUUCAAAAAGCGCGCAUCUCGCAUUGCGCGUUGCGCUUAUGCGCCAGGAGGCCCUUUGCGCUUCAGUGCGCAUAUCGCAUUUAAUAACACUGGGCACUAAUUAUUUUGGACUCUUAAUCUGAAAGAUACAUGACAUCCCAACUUAUGACAUCACCAGAAAACAGUAAGAAGCUACAGGGAUAUUCCAGUACCCACCUUUCGUUUCAUUUCUUUAAGCAUGUCUUCAAGACCUGCCCUUUGAGCUCCCAGAGUUUCCAAUUGCCUCUGAAAGGAAAAUCAAUUUACAGAAUGUCAAAGAAGCAUUAUGUAACACAUACACACGUCAGUCAAAAACUUGGUAGUCACCGGCAUCUGGUGACCAGUAUUUGGUGGAAUUAAUUUGUUUUAUUUCCAUAUCUUAUAUUUUAUGCACGAGCUUCUUGGAAUUGAAAAUUACAAUUAACAUAAAUGGUGGUAUUUUAAUGAUCAAUUAAAUUAGUGCAAGUAAAUAAGAAAGAGAGAAAAUAGAGGGUACAGCUUUAUCCUCAUUUUGACCCAUCUGCAAGAUUAUAUAAUUACACCAUGUUAAAAGUCGAACUACCACAAUUCCACAAAUGCUGAUAUAUAUUUUCACUCAUUUGCCUAACAAUGAUUAAGCUUUGCAAAAGUUUAACCAUCAAUAUUAAAUUUUCACUGCCACCGACAUCAUAUACUCCCUCAAUUUCUUUUUGCUGAUCGUUGUAAACUUCUCCUGCAGUUCCUUUUUCUUAGACGCUUUAUGCAUCCAAAGUACAUUUAAUAACCUACUUUCCACCAAAUGCCUCUAUUUAAUAUACUUCUCUUUCUUUAUACUAUUUUAGAGAUGAGGGCAGGAAAGUAAAAAAGGAGACAAUAUAGAAUUUAUUGUAGUGUGUUUAUGACAACUUUGUAUGUCGAAUUUUUUCUGAAACAUCUAUCAAAUAGGAAUGAUGUAUAAAACUUAUUUUAUGCAAUUAUGUUACGCUGAAAUUAGUAGCAUUCAUGUGGAAACUUAUACAUUUACUUGUAAACUUAUCAUAGAAAAUAAGUUAAUUUCCUUUCCGAGAAAAGUAAAAUUAUUAUUCCGACAAGAUGAAAUUCUACUCUCUAAUGUGGCUGAUAUGAAGAGUUUAAUAACUUCAAGUAUUCUAAAGCAACAAUACAUUCAUACAAAUAUACAAUAAACAUUAAAUUACCAAGCUCUGUUUCAAAGCCCCCAAUAUUGCAUCUUCAUUGGCGUCUAAAGACAUGAUUGGCCUCCCUAAGGUUGGAAGGACAGACUCUAUCUGGCACAGUUGAAAAAUUAAAUUUGUUCAGAAAUGACAUAUAUAAACAUCGCAAUAAAUUAUUGAAUCAAGCUAUACUUGGACAACAGGCUUCAUUGGCAAUGGCAUAGUUUAAGAUCUUAUUAGACUAUUCAGAGUACUUGGUUAAUAUUACUUGCAAUAUGGCUGCACAUGUCUAAAACAAAAAAUGCAACUCAGUUGGGAAUAACAAAACUUAUCUCCUGAUGAUACAACUCUCAAAAUCUUCCUCAACUUAUUUUCUUCCUUAAAGUCUUUAACUUGAUGAUGUAUUGAUAUUAUAAGACUAUACAUUUAUGAGCAACAGAUAUAUUUUACGUAAUGACAAUACAGGAACAUACUGGAUGUCGAUCAAGUAUUGACAUGAGAGAUGAAUGUUCCCUCACUGAUCGCUCAAUACGGGUAUCACUCUCUGCAGCUUGCUUUAAAUUUGCUGCAAACCUGUUCAACCUAUCCUGCAAAUUUUUUGUCAAUGUGCUUGAUUGGGGUCUGGUCCAUCGAGUACCAAAUUGGCUUCUAAAUUGUGCAUCUUCUGUUGCUUCUUUUUGUAAAAGCUCCUCUGUUUGAACUAGCAAUUCUUGGUUUACCCUUCUCAGAUCUCUAAGCUGCUGGAGCUCAGCUUCUAAACCAGCAGGGCCACCACAAAUUUUGUCAGGAAACUGCACUGCAACUGCAGUAGCAUUAGUAGAAUAUAUAGUAGUAGUAAUAGAAGUGAGGGUACUAUAGUCAUUCUGUGCUGUAUGAGUAUGCAAGUCUGUUAUGUUAGUAGCUAUAAGUACUGGUGUAAUGUUCAUUUGCAGAUAUGAUAUGAAAAUUGGCUUUUGCCUCCAAAACCUCUCUCUCUCUGCUUCUCUCUCUAUAACUGCUUUCUCUCUCUAGAAUUCUCUUCUCUUCUCAUCUAAACUCUGCUUCUCACCUCUAUUUCUCUCUAUUCUCCUCUCAAUUCUCUGCUGUUACUCUAUUUCUGCAUUUAUAUACACAGAAAACACCAAACAAAGUCUCAAACUAGGUCAGGAAAGUACCAGAUCCUGACAAAUUGGUAUCAGAGCUGUAAAUUUCGAUCAACUACUGCUUCCAUAUCACUGUGCUGUUAAAGGCGAGCUGUGCGGUUGUAGAAUCACAGGAAUCGCAGGUGUAGUUUGGAAGUUGAGAUCAGACAGGUCAGGUACUCUGUUUUCUUAACUGUUCUCAUCAGAUCUGUGAUUGUGAGGUUGUUUCUGUGAAUUUGGAGUGAAGUUCAGUUGAUUGUGGAUAGAUUACAGUAAUAGAUAGUUGCUAUAGCUUAUUACAACAGAAAAGUACAAAAGAAUUGUUGUGAGAGGUUUGACUAUUGAUUCUGGUGUGUGCUGUAGUUUAGUGCUAGUAAUCAGGUGUUUGAGUAAUUGUCUGAGUGAACUACAGGUAGUUGUAGUACUGAUAUUGAAGGAAUAAGAAAGUAUGACUAUUAGCACUAGAAGUAGUAGCAAACAAGUUGAGACUUCUGAUCAAGGCACAAGGAGAAUGAAUCAACAACAAUUUCAUGGAUUUCUGGAAGGAUCUGACCAGAAGUUUGAAAAAAUGCAAGAACAGAUUGGAUUGUUGAUGCAGCAACUGACUGGAGCUAUGAGUAUUCAAGGAGAUGAGGAUGAAAAUGUUGUGGUAAUUGAAGAAGAAAUGGAUGAGGAAGCUGAUCUAACCUUGCAGUCAAAAGGAAUGUUUAGAGAUCCUGAUCAUGCUGCUAAGCUGAGGCAGAAACAGAUGAAGGCAAAGCCUUCAAGGAAGAAUGAUGACUUAAAUAAUGGAGGAGUAGGAGUCAAUCAUGAAGGGACAGUUGAUUCUCAUAGUUUGAAGCAUCUAAAGUUAACAUUUCCAUCUCUCAAAGAGGGAGGAGAUGCUGUGGAGUGGUUAAGGGAUUGUGAGGAAUAUUUUACUAUUUUUGAAGUCAGUGACUACAGAAGAUCAGCCAUUGCAGCAAUGCACAUGAGUGGAACUCCAAGGUACUGGUACAAGUCCUUUAUGGUGGGAAGAGACAAAGUCACUUGGCAGCAGUUUACACAGGCCUUCCUUGCCAGAUUUGGAGAGCUAGAGACAGAGUUGGUGUUUGACAAAUUUAAGAAAUUGCAACAGACCACUACUGUGGAGGAUUACUUUGAUGAGUUUGAGAAAAGCAGAGGACAGUUGCUAAGCAAAAUACCUAGCUUAACUCCAGAAUAUUUCCUGGAAAAUUUUAUUGGAGGACUUCAGGCUGAGGUGAGAGGGAUGAUAAGACUGUUGGAGCCCUCAACAUUGGAGCAGGCUUUGAGAUUAGCCAGGUCUUAUGAGCAUAAUCAGGCCAACCAAGUUAAGAAGGGAAACACUUACAAGGGCAACUUCAGCUCCCAAGUAGUAACUAGACAGGUUCCUGAAUCAACUAAUGUUAACACCAACAGGUCUACAUUAGCUGUCCCAGUUAAAGGAACAGAGGUUGUGAGUGCCAAACCCAGGCCUCUGACUUAUAGUCAAAGAGAGGAAAGGAGAAAAAAAGGCUUGUGUUUCUACUGUGAUGAGAAAUUUGUGAAGGGACAUGAAUGCAAAAAACCACAAAAUUUCUUAAUGAUUGCAGAAGUUAAAGAGGUAGAAGUUUAUGAAGAAGCACCUGUUUUUGAUGAAGAUCCUAAUGAAGACAAAUGUGACUGGCAAGAGCAGAAGGUAGUGCUAGCUGCUCUGGGCAUUCAAGAGGUGCAAAAAGGAGGACCAAUGCAGUUCUCAUGUAAUUGGUGUGAAAGGAAUUAUCAGGUUCUAAUAGAUGGGGGAAGUUCUUUGAAUCUGAUUUCUUUGGAUUUUUGUAAAGAAUUGGGCUUACAGGUUCAGGCACAUAAGCCUGUAGUCAUGAUUUUGCCAAAUGGGGCAGAAUUCACUAGUACAGCUGUGUGUCCUACAUUUAAGCUGAAAUGGCAGGAGGUUGAGAUGGAGAUUCAGGCUUUUGUAGCUGAAUUGAAGGAUUGGCACCUUAUUCUGGGAAUUGAAUGGCUUUACCAGUUGGGGAAUAUAAGGUGCAAUUAUCAGGACAGCACUAUGCAUUUCAGCUGGAAAGGAAAAGAAGUGAUGAUCUCUCCAAAAGAUCACUUUGAGAUAGUGGCCUACUGUCACCAGCUAUCUGAGGUGGUACCUAAGUGGAUGAGUCAGAUUGAGAAUAGCUAUGAAGGGGAUAGUGAAAUUCAAGAAAUUGUGGCUGCAAUUACUGUGGAUAAAGGAGGUCCCCAAGAAUACUAUUUCAGACAAGGAUUGUUGAUGUUCAGGGGCAAAUGGGUAUUGGGAAGUAAAGGAGACCUAAGACAUCAAAUUUUUGAAGAAUUGCAUUGUCACAGUCAAGGGGGACAUUCUGGUGUGAGGGCUACUAUUAAGAAGGUGAUGGAAUACUUCUAUUGGCCCUCAAUCAGACAGAACAUAGGGCACUGGGUUAGGGAAUGUGCUAUCUGCCAGCAGAAUAAAGGGGAGAAUGUUAAGUAUCCUGGCCUGUUGCAACCACUGAGGAUUCCACAGGAGCCCUGGAGAGACAUUGCCAUGGACUUUAUCACUGGCUUACCUAAGUCCAAAGGAAAUGAAGUAAUUUGGGUGGUAGUGGACAGGUUUAGCAGGUACAGUCACUUCAUUGCUCUAGCUCAUCCUGUUUCUGCUAAAAGCUUAGCUUUGAUAUUCUUUGAGCAAAUCUACAAACUUCAUGGGCUGCCUGAAACUAUUGUAAGUGAUAGAGACAGUUUGUUUCUUAGUGAGUUUUGGCAAAACUUGUUCAAACUAUCUGGAACCAGGCUGAACUUCAGUACAGCCUAUCAUCCUCAAUCUGAUGGGAGUACAGAAAGGGUGAACCAAUGCCUGGAGCAAUACUUGAGGAAUAUGACAAGUGAGGUGCCCAAGAAUUGGUCAGCUUGGCUUGCUGCAGCAGAAUGGUGGUACAAUACCACAUUCCAUACUACUUUGAACUCAACUCCUUUCCAAGUUGUAUAUGGAAUGAAGCCUAGACACCUAGCUUGGCAAGAAAGGUCACAUACCAACAUAAGUAGUUUAGAGGAAUUGUUGGAGACUAAGCAGCAACAAUGGUGUAGAUUGAAGGAAUUGUUGGAGAGUGCUCAAGCUAAAAUGAAAGCUUAUUCUGAUGCAAAGAGGUCUGCUAGGGAAUUUCAAAAGGGGGAUCUGGUGUAUUUGAAACUACAGCCCUAUAGACAAGUAACUGUUGCAAUCAGGAAGAAUCUGAAAUUAGCUGCUAAAUUCUAUGGUCCAUAUGAGGUGAUUGAGAAAAUUGGAUCUGUGGCUUAUAGGUUGGCUCUUCCAGAAAGAUCUAGAGUUCAUCCUGUCUUUCAUGUUUCUCAACUGAAAAAAGCUAUUGGUCAAGCUAAAGUUCAGAAGCAGCUGCCACAAGUCAAUGAGCAGGGGUCAUUUGAUUUGGUACCUCUACGGCAGCUGGAGACUAGGAGCAUUUUAAGAGACCAUAAGAUGGUAUACCAAAGGCUGGUGCAGUGGAAAGGCUGUAGUGUGGAUGAAGCCACCUGGGAAGAUGAAGAUUUACUGAAGUGUAACUUUCCUGAAUUUUGUGGCCAUGAGGACAUGGGCUGAUUGAAGGAGGGGGGAAUGUCAGGAAACUGCACUGCAACUGCAGUAGCAUUAGUAGAAUAUAUAGUAGUAGUAAUAGAAGUGAGGGUACUAUAGUCAUUCUGUGCUGUAUGAGUAUGCAAGUCUGUUAUGUUAGUAGCUAUAAGUACUGGUGUAAUGUUCAUUUGCAGAUAUGAUAUGAAAAUUGGCUUUUGCCUCCAAAACCUCUCUCUCUCUGCUUCUCUCUCUAUAACUGCUUUCUCUCUCUAGAAUUCUCUUCUCUUCUCAUCUAAACUCUGCUUCUCACCUCUAUUUCUCUCUAUUCUCCUCUCAAUUCUCUGCUGUUACUCUAUUUCUGCAUUUAUAUACACAGAAAACACCAAACAAAGUCUCAAACUAGGUCAGGAAAGUACCAGAUCCUGACAAAUUUGCACUGCAUCCACAUCUUCUUUAAGAGCAGUUGGCAGAGCAGAAUGCCCUUCUAAUGCCAAAAUCGACUC
rnacentral:lncRNA from 1 species